UACGAAGGGGGCGAGCGUUGUUCGGAUUUACUGGGCGUAAAGGGCGCGCAGGCGGCACAUUUUGUCAGGCGUGAAAGCCCCGGGCUUAACCUGGGAACUGCGUUUGAUACGGAUGGGCUAGAGUUCGGGAGAGGAGAGUGGAAUUCCCAGUGUAGAGGUGAAAUUCGUAGAUAUUGGGAAGAACACCGGUGGUGAAGGCGGCUCGCUGGACCGAGACUGACGCUGAGGCGCGAAAGCGAGGGGAGCAAACAGG
rnacentral:rRNA from 1 species